GCUUCUAUGGCGCAAUCGGUUAGCGCGUUCGACUGUUAAUCGAAAGGUUGCUGGUUCAAGUCCAGCUAGGAGCG